rnacentral:rRNA from 1 species
CAGCAUGUGUACUGCCGUUGUAAGCAUACCUCUAAAAGAUAAGUAUACUACUAUGAUUAUUAACUCAUUUACAUCAGGUCAAAGUGCAGCUAAUGAGGGGGUGAUGAUGGGUUACAACCCCUAAACAGACUAUCAACUAAGAAAUAAAAAAUCUUACGAAAGUGGACUUGGCCGUAAUCAAUUUAAAGAUAAAAAAAUGAAUAAUAUCUAAGACAUGCACACAUCGCCCGUCACUCUAUCCUAAAGGUUAGACAAGUCGUAACAAAGUAGGUGUAAUGGAAAUUGUACCUGUCGGAGUAUAGCAUAUAAAAUGCUUUUUACUUACACUAAAAAUAAAGUCUAAAGGCUUGCCCCGCCCACGUAAUAAUAUCUUACAACUAGAUAAUAAUUAAAACAAUUAAACAACUAACAUAUAAAGUACAGAGAUGGAAAAAAUAAUAAAUUAAAGUAAAUUUUAACAAGUGUACCUUGUGCAUUAUGGUCUUACAAGAAAGUAAUUAAACACACUAAUCCCGAAUUCUGAGUGAGAUGUUAAACUGCUGUUGAGCACCCAUUAAUAACUGUGGAAAAAGUUUUAAGAGACAGUUUAACAGAGGCUACAUACCAUCCGCAUAAGAAUAUAGCUGGUUUUUAAUUAACAUUAUACAUUAAAGCAUAUAAUUAUAUUAUAGUGUAAUAUUAUUGAGGAUAAGCCUAAUAAUUCAUGCAAUACAAAAUUAUUCUAUUAUAUCCCAUAGGCCUAAAAUCAGCCAACUAAAUUACCUUACCGUAAUAAAGAUAGAUAUAAUACAUAACAUAUAAUGCUAAAAUAGUUAAAAUGAUAGAAAAACUAAAUAUCUACCCCUAUUAUGUAAAAAUAAGUAUUAUAAAUUUAAAAAAUAAAAAUCUAGUAAUAACAGAACACAAAUUAAUAAUAAUUAAUUAAGGAACUCGGCAAAUUAUUAUUUCGACUGUUUAAC